CAGUCGCCGCGGUAAUACGUAGGGUGCGAGCGUUAAUCGGAAUUACUGGGCGUAAAGCGUGCGCAGGCGGUUUUGUAAGACAGGCGUGAAAUCCCCGGGCUCAACCUGGGAAUGGCGCUUGUGACUGCAAAGCUAGAGUGCGGCAGAGGGGGAUGGAAUUCCGCGUGUAGCAGUGAAAUGCGUAGAUAUGCGGAGGAACACCGAUGGCGAAGGCAAUCCCCUGGGCCUGCACUGACGCUCAUGCACGAAAGCGUGGGGAGCAAACAGGAUUAGUACCCCAGUAGUCCCUGUCUCUUAUACA
rnacentral:rRNA from 1 species